rnacentral:lncRNA from 1 species
ACACGACGCUGGGCGAGGCUUUGCGGCGCUCCGGCAGCUCCAGUUCCAGCUCCAGCUCGGUACGUACUUCCCUUUUCUUCGCCAUGUGGGGCUUGGUUCGGUCGUAGGACGGCGCGUACUAUUGGACUAGUCACUGACUGACUAAUGGGUUACGCGUGGUGCAGUCGUCCGAGGAUGACGGGCAAGGCGGGAGGCAGAGGAAGAAGAAGGGCAUCAAGGACGAAGAUAAAAGGAGAAAGCUUCCGGGGCAACCAAAAGCACGAGGAGCAUAAGGCAGGGCACGCGGCGGCGCCGGCGGCUGGGACGGGGACGCACGAGAAGAAGGGUAUCAUGGAGAAGAUCAAGGAGAAGCUCCCUGGACACCACUGAGCAACGUGCGUGCGCCUCACUUGACACGGUUCUUUGACCAUGUACGACCUAAAUGAUCAGUCGCUGGUGUAUAGUGAAUUCGCUAGCAGAUUAGUAUUUUCCUUCUGCACUUUUUCGUGUUUGAUAGUUGUACGAGUUAGAUUUGGGGUAGUUCGAGUUGGUGUGUGGCUAAUGUCCGGUGCUACCGUAAGUGUAGUUCCUCAGUACUCGUAUGUAGGACUGUAGGUUGUGUGUGGGGUGCCUGUGACGUGUGAGGUAAGGGCCGUCUUCAUAAAUUUGCGGCUCGAGGACUAAUGGAAAAGCAAGACCGUGAACUUUGAAAAAAUCAUCUUAACUAAUAAAAGAACUCACAAGAUAAAAAUAUAUCUAUGAUCAAACAAACGUGCUUUGGUUUAAGACACGUGCUAGCAUAUCCUGUAUAAAGCC